CGGGGUGAGUAACGCGUGGAAAACCUGCCGUAUACUGGGGGAUAACACUUAGAAAUAGGUGCUAAUACCGCAUAAGCGCACAGCUUCGCAUGAAGCGGUGUGAAAAACUCUGGUGGUAUACGAUGGUUCCGCGUCUGAUUAGCUAGUUGGUAAGGUAACGGCUUACCAAGGCAAUGAUGCAUAGCCGAGUUGAGAGACUGAUCGGCCACAUUGGGACUGAGACACGGCCCAAACUCCUACGGAAGGCAGCAG
rnacentral:rRNA from 1 species